rnacentral:lncRNA from 1 species
CCUCCUCAAUCUUCUCAGCUCUAAGCUUAUGCCCUUUGAAUUCGUCAGAUUGCCCCUCCGGAACAGAAGGUGCUCGAUGUUUUGCUUCAUACAUAUCUUGGUGCUUGAUUCCCAGCCAACAGCGCCAAGAGCAACGAUGUUUUACUCCUCGUGGAAUCUUCACCAACCACUCCAAGUCUACUUUGUUUCCGGAUAUUCUCAAUAUAAGUAAGUACACUACAUCUUAAGCAUGCACGUCUACAACAUCAUACCUACAUACGAUUAGUUGAUUUAUGCAUAUGCAUUAUACCAUUUUCAGACUUUAUUGUUGUUUGUUUUUUAGAUCCGGCUGUUUUCUUUGAUCUGAAUUUAGAUCGACUUCCAAAAUUGUAGCUUUGAUUUCAAUUGGCAAACCUAGAGAAGGUAAGGUGUUAUAAUCUCUCAUAAAUCAUGAUUAUGUACAGUACUUCUUACUCAACUUAAUGAAUCAUUUUGUUCGUUUUCUUUUGCAGAAAUUGGGGUAUGUUGUUCAAGUAAGUUCAGUUGACUGCUCGGAUUGUCAACCACUGCUUUUUCUUCAGUUAUUCGAUAGUCACUAUUUUAAUUUCCUAACUAUACACAUGUCCCCCUGUAUGUCUAUUUAUAGUCCUCUCUUAAUAGUUCAAGUAGCACUGUCGCUUCCUUUUAGACCUUUAACUUAUAUAGAAACUACAAGCAAAUUUUGCUGGCUGUGUAGUACAUCUUGGAAUUAAUGUAUAUUCUCUUUUAGUUAGCCCAUGAAAUGCUAUGAAGUUAUUCUUUUACCCUUCCUUGAGAAUAUGGAAAUUCAUGUUUGGUGAUUGAGUUGGGCAAGUUAUGCGCAGUUCACCUACAAUUUAUGUGAAUGCAUAUGGCAUCUUAC